AUGGAGGGUGUUGAUGCUAUAGAAGAAGAAAGCUCACAAGAAAAAAUUCAUGUAGAAGAAAAAGAACAAGAACAUGAAGUUGAUCAACCUGGGAUUCACAAUGGUCUCAAAUGUAAAAAACUCUCUUGGAAAAAUCUUAUUAGACUUGAUUCUUUUGAUUUGGAGGCUGAUAGAUUCACCUCCAAUCAAGGCCCUGGAUCUUCUCAAGCCUUGGAUUGGGGAAGCAUAAUGAAGCUAGCAUUUCAGAGCAUUGGGGUUGUGUAUGGUGAUUUGGGCACGUCGCCUUUGUAUGUGUUACCAGGCAUUUUUCCUACUGGGGUUAAGCACAAUGAUGAUAUACUUGGUGUGCUGUCUCUAAUCUUUUACUCGCUCAUGUUAAUUACUUUGAUCAAGUACGUUUUCAUUGUGCUGACGGCCAAUGAUAACGGCGAUGGAGGAACUUUCGCUCUAUAUUCUCUCAUAUGCCGCUAUGCCAAGGUCAGCUUGAUGCCUAACCAGCAGACUGAAGACAAAGAAGUGUCUAACUACUGACUAGAUGUGCCAAACCGAUGGCUGAAGAGAGCAUCCUUUAUUAAAUCUAUGCUUGAGAGUAACCAAAUACUAAAGUAUUUCAUCUUGUUCAUGACCAUGCUUGGCACCUCCAUGGUGAUUGGAGAUGGCAUCCUCACACCAUGCAUAUCAGUAUUGUUAGCAGUGGGGGGAGUUAAGGAAGCUACUAGUGCGCUUACUGAUAAUACGAUCAUGUGGAUUUCAAUAGGAAUCUUGAUUAUUUUGUUCCAAGUUCAGAGAUUUGGGACAGAUAAAAUUGGCUAUAGUUUUGCUCCAGUACUAAAAAUUUGGUUUCUUUUCAUUGGAACUAACGGCCUGUACAACUUUGUGAAGCAUGAUCCAGGGGUUAUCAAGGCAAUCAAUCCAAUGUAUAUUGUUGACUGUUUCAUUAGGAAUAAGAAGAAUGCAUGGAUCUCUCUUGGAGGCGUCAUCCUAUGCCUAAUAGGUUCUGAAGCAUUGUUUGCAGAUCUUGGUCACUUCAAUGUUUGUUCAAUUCAAAUAAGCUCAUGCACUAUAGUUUUUCCCUCGAUUGUUCUUGCCUACUUUGGUCAAGCUUCAUAUCUCCGGAAACACAAUCAGGAUGCUAGCAAUGCCUUUUAUAGUUCUGUUCCAAAACCACUGUACUGGCCAAUGUUUAUUGUGGUUGUAAUGGCAGCCAUCAUUGCUAGUCAGUCGUUAAUCUCCGCUUCUUUCUCCAUCGUCCAACAAUCUUUGGCCCUUAGGUGUUUCCCACGGGUUAAGGUAGUGCACACAUCUGCUAAAUACAAAGGGCAAGUUUAUGUACCAGAGAUCAACACCCUUCUCAUGCUGGCUUGUGUGGGUGUCACUCUUGGUUUCAAAAAUACAUUGAAGAUAGGGAACGCUUACGGAAUUGCAGUGGCAUUUGUAUUUACAAUCACAUCUUCGUUUCUUCUCCUUGUGAUGGUCAUGAUAUGGAAGACAAACAUCUACUUGAUCAUCAUGUAUGCUCUAACUAUAGGGCUCUUGGAAUUCCUAUUCUUGAGCUCAGUACUCUACAAGUUUGUUGAUGGAGGGUACCUUCCUCUAUUGUUUGCCUUGACUCUUGUGAUCAUUAUGUAUUUAUGGAACUAUGGCUAUUGGAAGAAGUACAAGUAUGAACUAGAAAACAAAGUUUCUACUCGUAAAUUGGUGGAGGUAGCCUCUAAUCCUAGCAUCCAUCGAGUUCCGGGUGUUGCCCUAUUUUACACUGAGCUUGUCCAUGGAAUUUCCCCUAUAUUCACCCACUAUGUUGCAAAUGUACCAGCUUUACACUCAGUUCUUGUCUUUGUUUCAAUCAAGUAUCUAACCAUUAGCACAGUCCCUCCAGAGGAACGCUUUUUGUUUGGACGAAUAGAGCAUCAUGAGCUAGGCAUUUUCCGAUGUGUUGUGAGGUAUGGAUAUAAGGAUUCAAGAUCUGAGUGUGAGUUUUUUUAAAGAGAUGUUGGUGAUCAAUUGAAGGAGUUCAUACGAAAUGAUCUGCUCAAGCCUAAUGAAUUAGCUGAUAACAAAGAAGUAGAAAAGGUUGAUGAAGAAACGGUGCAAAGAGAGAUGGGAAUUGUGGAUGAUGCACUAAAAUUUGGGGAUGUUGUUUAUCUAAUGGGUGAAAAUGAAGUGAUGGCUUCAAAGGGGUCUAGCCUUUUGAAGAAGUUAGCUAUAAACUAUGCCUAUAAUUGGUUGAAAAGAUGUGUGAGACAAGCAGAUGAAGUUUUCAUGAUUCCUCGCAAUCGUCUUCUCAAGGUGGGGAUGACUUAUGAGGUCUAG